rnacentral:rRNA from 1 species
UACGGAGGAUGCAAGCGUUAUCCGGAAUUAUUGGGCGUAAAGCGUCCGCAGGUGGUUUUACAAGUCUGCUGUUAAAGCGUGGAGCUUAACUCCAUAAAGGCAGUGGAAACUGUGGAACUAGAGUUUGGUAGGGGUCGCGGGAAUUCCCAGUGUAGCGGUGAAAUGCGUAGAUAUUGGGAAGAACACCGGUGGCGAAAGCGCGCGACUGGGCCGAGACUGACACUGAGGGACGAAAGCUAGGGGAGCGAAAGGG